rnacentral:tRNA from 1 species
GGAGAGGUGCCAGAGUGGUUGAUUGGGCACGCCUGGAAAGCGUGUUUCCGCUUAACGGCGGAACGAGGGUUCGAAUCCCUCCCUCUCCGCCA